rnacentral:misc_RNA from 1 species
AAGAGACGUUGCCCUUCGGGGUAUACCUCCCACCCUUUGCUUAUUAUACCUUUGUUGCUUUGGCAGGCCCGUCCCUCGGGACCCCCGGCUCCGGCUGGGCUGCGCCUGCCAGAGGACCUAAACUCUGUUUGUUAAUGUCGUCUGAGUACUAUAUAAUAGUUA